ACUGAAGGAAGAACAGGGACAGGGUUUGUCUGGUAUGAUUAGGGACUAGGAUGGUGUACGUGGAACAACUCCUGGUAAGACCAGGGUUGAAGUGAGAAGUGGAAUUGACACAGAGAGCAGGGGCCCGCCCUAUCCAAGAGGCAGCAGAAUGCGGGGACUGACAGCAAACAAGAACACAUCAGUGGCUUAUCAAGGAGGCAGAAUGACAAGGAGGAUAAGCUGCUGAUCACCCUGGCUGAGAAGAGUUCCAUGGCAGAGGCAGCAGCCUAGUUCCCCUCUAUGUCUUAUUAUAGCUUCAAGCUCUUGAAACUUCAGGAGAAAAAAAAAUAUGUAAGAAUCUCCAUCCUAAUGGAUAAGACUUCUUUCUUCACUUUGGUUUCCAAUGGACCCUACUUGACUGCUAUAACAAUGGCUUUUAAGUCAAGUCUGAAGGAAGCAACUGAUCCUUCAGAAAGAUGAUGGCACUGGUGUGGAGAAAAGGGAAAGAUUAUAUACUGAAGGUGGAGAUGUAAAUGAUACAGCCUGUAUGGAAAACAGGAUGGAGGUUUCUCGAAGAACUAAAAAUAAAACUACACUUCAAUCCAGCAAUCCCACUACUGGCUAUUUAACCAAAGGGAAAAACAGUUAUAUAAAAAAGAUGCCUGCACUUGUGUGUUUAUCACUGCAUAAUUUACAAUAACAAAGAUAUGGAAUCCACCCAAGUGUAAGUGUCCAUCAGCACGUGAUUAGAUAAAAUGAACGUGGUACGUAUACACCAUGGAAUACUACUCAGCCAUCAAAAAAAGUGAAAUCAUAUCUUUUGCAGCAACAUGGAUGGAACUGGUAGCCAUUGUCUUAAAGGAAACAACUCAGAAACAGAAAGCCAAAUAUCACAUGAUCUUACUUAUAAGUGGAAGAAAAGGAAAGUGUAGAAGAGAGGAAAAACAACGUGGAAGUGUUCUGAUGGGACGGAAGAAGAUCGGGCCAAGGAAAGAAGAAUGUUGUGAAGAUGCAAGCAGCCAAUUUGUGCUCCAUAAAAAGUAAAAUGUUGGUAUUAUACAUAAAGCCAUUUGUUUCUUUUUCAUGGGAAGGUAGAGAAAUUAAAUGUGAAGGCAAUGGGGAUUGGCAUAGGAAUAAUGGAAAACAAAGUUGAUGGUUCACUUCUUCAUCUGAGGAGGCUCACUUUGUGGUCCUGCAGCCAGCAAUAAGGAAAACAAUGGAAGAGCAUAGUGGUGAUUUGCUAGUAAAAACAUAGCUCCUGAGUUAAGUGUGGUGACUUACACCUGUAAUCUCAGUACUUUGGGAGGCUGUGGAGGGAGAAUUGCUUGAGGCCAGGCAUUUGAGACUGCCAUGUGCAGCAUAAUGAGACCCUAUAUCUACAAAAAUUAAAAAUAAAAACAUUAGCCAAGAAUGGUGGCACACACCUGUAGUCCCAGCUACUCUGGGAGGCUGAGGUGGGAGGAUCAUUGGAACCCAGGAGGUGGAGGCUACAGUGAGUCAUGAUCAUGCCACUACCCUUUAGCCUGGACAACAGAACGAGACCACCAUCUCAAAAAAUAGAUAAAUAAAAAUAAAAAUACAGCUCCCAUGUGUCCACUACUCUCCAUUUCCACCACACUCUUUCUCCUGGUCCAUGUCCUUAGUCUCCACGUUGGUCUCCGUUUUGUUCACUCUUGCCAUCUUCCACACAGCAGCCAGUUAUCUUUUAAAAAUACGGCUCCGUUUCACUCACUCUCCUUCAAAGGCUUCCCAUUGCUCUUAGCAUAAAAUCCAAAAUCUUUUAAAUGUCUGAUGAGUAAUGUGGACACAUACUUUGUUAUCUCAACAGAGGUACCUUGAGAGAGAAAGGGGGCAUCAUUGCUGGGACUCUCUGGGGCACACUGGGCUGGGUGGUCCCCCCAGGGCCUUCUGUGACCUUGCCCCAUCUACCUUUCCACUUUCUUUUGCUUCUCCCCGUACCAGCACCACUCAUGAUGCUCUAACAACAUUGGCCUUCUUUCUGUUCCUCAAAUGUCCAAUUGUCUCUGACUGUAGAGCAUCUGCACAUACUGCUCUUCCUGCCUGGAACACUUGUGCUCCUCUCAGGCCAGAUUCUACUCAGCCUCAGGAUGUGCUUCUGAUCCACAGUGCAAACUUUCUGAUAGCCCAAUCUAACUUAAGUGUCCUGUUACAAUCUCUCAUGGAGCCCUUUAUUUUUUUCUCUAUAGUAGUUUCACAAUUAGUAAUUUUGCGUUUAUUUGUAGUGUUGUCUGCUGAAUGUCCAUCUUCUCCUCUAGGUGGUGUGCUCCCCAAGGCAGAUAUUGUAUCUUUGUGUUCAAACUUUACUCCUAUGUCCUGGCAGUAUGGAAUGCACAUGGCAAGCACUCAAGACACAAGAAAUAUUUAUUGAAUGAUGGAUUGAAUAAAUAUAUACCUGGGUGGGUAAGAAGAGACAAUACUUAUCAAAAUGCAUAGGAUGAGGGCAAUAUAAAUGCUAUAGACUUCUGCUGGACCUGUUCAUAGGCUUCAGAAUUUCCCCAACAAUAUGUAUCUGUUAGCUUAGGCUGAGCAUACUACAGUAACAAACAUCCUCAGACUCUCAGCAGCUGACACAAUAACGGUUUAUUUAUUGCUCAUGUUACAUGCCUAUUGUAAGUCAGCUGCAUGUCUUCUUCAUCUGAGACCCAGGCUGUUGUAAGGGUCCCCAUUCCAACAUUGCUUGUCUCUUCGCAGAGAGAAUGAGAGCAUGGCCAAGGAUGAGAGAGUUCUUGCUCUGCUCAGAAGGAGCACACCUCAUUUCUGCUUCUAUUUCGUUGGUCAAAGCAAGUAACAUGAUAUCAACAGGGCCAAGAUGUGUGAUCCUCUCACAGGGAGACAUCCACGUAAAGAUGCCUAUGGGAAAGGGAUCAAUACUUUGAAAUAUCAUAAUACAUAGGUGUUGCAUGCUUUUGGUAGAUGAACUAAAGGGAGUUUUCUUGCUUGCGUAUUUUGGUAAGGUCUGGGAGUUAAACGGAAAAUAUGACUCUAAUUUUAUUCUUGGGAAAACCAGGGCUCUAUGAGCUGAGGCAGUACCCUGAGACUAAAAAGCACUGUGUCUGAGAGAGUGAGUCUCCAGACUAGUCUGCAGCUGCCUUGCUCCUCUGUGGGCUUUAAUUCCCUUUUCACCCAUGCCC
ensembl:lncRNA MIR3976HG MIR3976 host gene